rnacentral:misc_RNA from 1 species
AACGCACAUUGCACUCUGCUUCGGCUGAGUAUGCCUGUUUGAGAAUCUAAAGUAUUCUUUUUCCCUAGUGACUGUCAGAACAGACCUUGGUCUGGCUAUGAUACCACUAGGGAAAGAUUUGAAGCUUCGCUCUUACCCAGCGUGCCUUUAAAACUAUAGCUGUCUAAGCUAUCGCUGCAUAGCGCUUCGCAGAACAGUAUGUGAAUGAACCUAUUGGUUUCUCUAAUGCGGGCUAUGAUGGUGAUGUUAGUGUAGUAGUCUGGGUUUAUUUCGAAGCAUAGGCCCUCAACUAUGAAGUAGAGGUCCGACUAAGUCGUGUCCAGAACUGAACCAUGGUCACAAAUCAGGUAGGAGGAUCAGCUGAUCUU